UUAGCUUGUCAUUGCUUCAUUUCUAAUUGCUGCUUUCAUCCUUCAAACCUAAACUCAGAUCACGGCAGGCUAAGACCACUCCAGGUCACGUGGAGUGAUACGAGCUGCAGCAGUGCUAUCACAGUCAGCUGGGAUAACAUUGCUGGGGGAUAAGGACCAGCAAUCCCCCCC